rnacentral:lncRNA from 10 species
AACACAGGGAGAGACACCAGACAGAUGCAGCCCAGAGAGAUGAGCAUGUAACACACAGCAAGAAUGCAGCCACCAGGCAAGCCAAGGAGAGAGCCUUCAGAAGAAACCAACCCUGCCGACACCUUGACCUCAGACUUCCAGCCUCUAAAACGAUUGAAGACAAUGCUGAUCAUACUAUCAACCAUGAAGGACUGUGCUGAGGAUUGAAUGAGAAUACAUUCAGGCCACGGAACACAGUGUGUAUAUAUUACACAUGCUCCAAAAAGGCUAGCUGCUACUAUGAAGUUGGAUAAAUUGACUCAGGAAAGGGCAGAAUGAACUUGAUAUUGUGACUGUACAUUUCAGAGAGGCCCCAAAGAGCAAAUAUUCAGAUCACAGCAUUCACUCCCGGAAUAAGCAUAUUCGAAAACCCUUUCUUUGUCAAGCACGAUACGUGGAGGGAGACUCAUUCUGUUUCAGAAAGCUGAGAGUUAAGUGGCCAAGAUAACCCCAAAAGACAAUCCUAAUAGAUGUGGUGGACACAACAGCAGAAAUAUGGCCACAGGUGUCACAUUUCCAGGUUUUAUCUACUACAAAGGAUAUCACUUGGGAAGGAAUUUCUUGAAACUGCUCCCAAGAGAGCCAUUGGACCAUGUGGUAAACAACUCCUAGCUGAUGGAUUAUUGGGAAUAUUAACAUCAUCCAGAAUGCUAUGGGGAGAAGACAACUGGAAGCUCCGUGUGGACAAACCUCCUGGACUCUGCCCCACAUAUCUCUUCCCUUGGCUGAUUUGAAUUUGUAUCCUUUCACUGUGAUAAACCACAACCAGAUUAUUACAGCUGUCAGCAAGUUCUUCUAUUGAAUUGUUGAAACUGAGGGUGGUCUUGGGAACCCCUGAACUCUACUGUUGGUGUCAGGAGUGAGGGAAGUCUUGUGGACUGUACUCCCUGACCUCACAGGUGCAUUUUCCAACUUUAUUUGGACAUUCCCCAACAACAUCAUCCCCUUCUUCAAAUAUGUUUCUGCUACAAACAUUGUCCUUUAGAUGGUUCCUUUGCUGCCAUUAUGACUAUGGCGUAAUCUGUAGUAAAGCACCAUUAAGAUGUUAAUACAGAUGUAUGUGUGAAUUAAAAAGUGAUGCUAAAUGCAUAGUAACCAAUUUACUUCGCAUUAAUAAUUUAGCUAUUUUUAUUUGUUUCUAAACAAAAAGCAAAGAGGAUCCAGUCCAGAGAGCAGUUGCAACAGUGUGCACAAUUUUUAUUAAACCGAAAUAAAAGUUCUUGGGCUAUGGAAGUCACCUAAAUUCACUUCUCUUUUCCUAUGAACUUUCACUUUUUUUCCUUCCAACUCUAGUUAGAAGCUGACAGCUGACACGCCCUUCCUUUGUGCAUUUUAUCCUGGGACAAAAUGAGAAGACAUCCUUCAGUUCCCCUCAUCAACAAGAAUUUACCAAGAAGAAUUCUCCAAUGCCAGUGAGAUUCUGAAAUCUCAUAGUUGUACUCAAUUAUAAAUUACUUAUUCACAUGAUCCAGGUUUUACAUGGGUUAAUUUUUUUAGAUAAUCAUCAGAAUGAAAACAUGACAUUUAAAAAAGCACAAAUAAGACUACAAAGAUUGUUACAUGUUCUCAGGAUCCCUGAGUCCAGGUUGAGAAAUGCUCUUUUAAAGACGCCCAGGCACAUGCAUUUUGGUUUAACAAUACUUGAUCUACUAAUAGUUCUCAUCAUGCAGUAAUUUAAGUAUUUGGUUGUAUUUUUGUAAGAAUUAAUAAAAUGUUAUA